UGGGGAAUAUUGCACAAUGGAGGGAACUCUGAUGCAGCGACUCCGCGUGAACGAAGAAGGCUUUCGAGUCGUAAAGUUCUUUUAUAUGGGAAGAUAAUGACGGUACCAUAAGAAAAAGCCCCGGCUAACUACGUGCCAGCAGACGCGGUAAUACGUAGGGGGCUAGCGUUGUCCGGAAUCACUGGGCGUAAAGGGUUCGCAGGCGGAAAUGCAAGUCAGGUGUAAAAGGCAGUAGCUUAACUACUGUAAGCAUUUGAAACUGCAUAUCUUGAGAAGAGUAGAGGUAAGUGGAAUUUUUAGUGUAGCGGUGAAAUGCGUAGAUAUUAAAAAGAAUACCGGUGGCGAAGGCGACUUACUGGGCUCAUUCUGACGCUGAGGAACGAAAGCGUGGGUAGCAAACAGG
rnacentral:rRNA from 1 species